rnacentral:lncRNA from 1 species
CCACACUUCAAGGGACUAUAACAAAGUGUGCCACCUUUAUGAUGAACACACUUUAAGCGUGACUUCCAAAUGCCAAUUGCCUGCUCAACCACGACACGUGUUUUCUUCAGGCUGAUGUUGAAUCUUUGUUCGCCAGCAUUAGCUGGCAUUCCAAUUGGUGUCAUCAGGUGGUGGACCUCCUGCCAACCCUCCUCUCUCCCAGCUCGAUGAGUUAAUCUUUGAGAUUUUGGACCCCAAGAAUGUCUCUAUUCAUGGGUGUACCAAUAAGGCAAGCAUCAUUGAAUGCACCUUCCUUAACAAAGGAUAAGCCACUUGUAGAUAUAGCAAUAUUAGGCCAUAAUGUUGUCUCAAAUGUCUGCAAUCCAAAAUACUCAUGUUCCUAGUUAGUUUACAACUUAGUUAUACACAAUGGUAAAUUUGUUAUCUAGUGUUGAGAAUUUUUUUUUUUUUUUUUUAUUCCUUAACCAAACAGAUAAAACAGUAAUAAGAAAAGGAAAAAAACUAAUAAAGUUAACUUAAUUCCUAUCCCUUCUCCCCAUUCAUAAGUAUGGUGUUGUAGUGGGUGAAUGUGUUAAUGAUAACGAGUCUUAGGUAUUUACAGUUUCUUAGACAUGGGCUUCCUUCAAACAGAAUAGGAUUUAAGUCAAACACAUUGUACCCUUAGCUAGAUUUACUGGUUUCUGUUACUUUUGUCCUUAGCAAUAAAACCAAAAACAUUA